AUUGAACGCUGGCGGCAGGCCUAACACAUGCAAGUCGAGCGGAGCGGCGGACGGGGGCGUAAUGCCUAGGAAUCUGCCUGGUAGUGGGGGAUAACGUCCGGAAAUGGGCGCUAAUACCGCAUCCUCUCAGAUUAGCCUAGGUCGGUAUCGCUAGUUGGUGGGGUAAGGGCCUAGCAAGGCGACGACCCGUAACUGGUCUGAGAGGAGGGCCAGCCACACUGGAACUGAGACACGUGCCAGACUCCUACGGUAGGCAGCAGUGGGGAAUAUUGCACAAUGGGCGAAAGCCUGAUGCAGCCAUGCCGCGUGUAUGAAGAAGGCCAUCGGGUUGUAAAGUACUUUCAGCGGGGAGGCGUUACCCGCAGAAGAAGCACCGGCUAACUCCGUGCCAGCCGCCGCGGUAAUUC
rnacentral:rRNA from 1 species